CCUGUGGGCGGAGCGAGCCCUGAAAGGCUAGGCGAGGGGGCGGCUCCGCGGGGCCGGGCGAGGAGUCCAGAGAACCAUGGCCGCCCUGCGUGUCCUGCUGUCCUGCGUCCGCGGCCCGCUGAGGCCCCCGGUUCGCUGUCCCGCCUGGCGUCCCUUCGCCUCGGGUGCUAACUUUGAGUACAUCAUCGCAGAAAAAAGAGGGAAGAAUAACACCGUGGGGUUGAUCCAACUGAACCGCCCCAAGGCCCUCAAUGCACUUUGCGAUGGCCUGAUUGACGAGCUCAACCAGGCCCUGAAGACCUUCGAGGAGGACCCAGCCGUGGGGGCCAUUGUCCUCACCGGCGGGGAUAAGGCCUUUGCAGCUGGAGCUGAUAUCAAGGAAAUGCAGAACCUGAGUUUCCAGGACUGUUACUCCAGCAAGUUCUUGAAGCACUGGGACCACCUCACCCAGAUGAAGAAGCCAGUCAUCGCUGCUGUCAAUGGCUAUGCUUUUGGCGGGGGCUGUGAGCUUGCCAUGAUGUGUGAUAUCAUCUAUGCCGGUGAGAAGGCCCAGUUUGCACAGCCGGAGAUCUUAAUAGGAACCAUCCCAGGUGCGGGCGGCACCCAGAGACUCACCCGUGCUGUUGGGAAGUCGCUGGCGAUGGAGAUGGUCCUCACCGGUGACCGGAUCUCAGCCCAGGACGCCAAGCAAGCAGGUAUGGGUUGGGGCUGCCCGCAAGAGCCACCUGGAAACCCGGGGCGGGAGCCCCACAGAAACCCGGGGCGGCAUCCAGGUGUCCCCCUCGGGGGAGCCCCACAGAAACCCAGGGCGGCAUCCAGGUGUCCCCCUCGCGGGAGCCCCACAGAAACCCAGGGCGGCAUCCAGGUGUCCCCCUCGGGGGAGCCUCACAGAAACCCAGGGCGGCAUCCAGGUGUCCCCCUCGGGGGAGCCUCACAGAAACCCAGGGUGGCAUCCAGGUGUCCCCCUUGGGGGAGCCCCACAGAAACCCAGAGCUGCAUCCAGGUGUCCCCCUCGUGGGAGCCCCACAGAAACCCUGAGCUGCAUCCAGGUGUCCCCCUCGUGGGAGCCCCACAGAAACCCUGAGCUGCAUCCGGUUGUCCCCCUCGCGGGAGCCCCACAGAAACCCAGAGCUGCAUCCAGGUGUCCCCCACGGGGGAGCCCCACAGAAACCCAGGGCGGCAUCCAGGUGUCCCCCAUGGGGGAGCCCCACAGAAACCCAGAGCUGCAUCCAGGUGUCCCCCUCGGGGGAGCCCCACAGAAACCCAGGGCGGCAUCCAGGUGUCCCCCUCGUGGGAGCCCCACAGAAACCCAGAGCUGCAUCCAGGUGUCCCCCUCGGGGGAGCCCCACAGAAACCCGGGGCGGCAUCUAGGUGUCCCCCUCGGGGGAGCCCCACAGAAACCCAGGGCGGCAUCCAGGUGUCCCCCUCGCGGGAGCCCCACAGAAACCCAGGGCGGCAUCCAGGUGUCCCCCUCGGGGGAGCCUCACAGAAACCCAGGGCGGCAUCCAGGUGUCCCCCUCGGGGGAGCCUCACAGAAACCCAGGGUGGCAUCCAGGUGUCCCCCUGGGGGGAGCCCCACAGAAACCCAGAGCUGCAUCCAGGUGUCCCCCUCAUGGGAGCCCCACAGAAACCCUGAGCUGCAUCCAGGUGUCCCCCUCGUGGGAGCCCCACAGAAACCCUGAGCUGCAUCCGGUUGUCCCCCUCGCGGGAGCCCCACAGAAACCCAGAGCUGCAUCCAGGUGUCCCCCACGGGGGAGCCCCACAGAAACCCAGAGCUGCAUCCAGGUGUCCCCCAUGGGGGAGCCCCACAGAAACCCAGGGCGGCAUCCAGGUGUCCCCCAUGGGGGAGCCCCACAGAAACCCAGAGCUGCAUCCAGGUGUCCCCCUCGGGGGAGCCCCACAGAAACCCGGGGCGGCAUCUAGGUGUCCCCCUCGUGGGAGCCCCACAGAAACCUGGGGCGGCAUCCAGGUGUCCCCCACGGGGGAGCCCCACAGAAACCCAGAGCUGCAUCCAGGUGUCCCCCAUGGGGGAGCCCCACAGAAACCCAGGGCGGCAUCCAGGUGUCCCCCUCGCGGGAGCCCCACAGAAACCCGGGGCGGCAUCCAGGUGUCCCCCACGGGGGAGCCUCACAGAAACCCAGGGCGGCAUCCAGGUGUCCCCCUCGCGGGAGCCCCACAGAAACCCGGGGCGGCAUCCAGGUGUCCCCCUCGCGGGAGCCCCACAGAAACCCGGGGCGGCAUCCAGGUGUCCCCCUCGGGGGAGCCCCACAGAAACCCAGAGCUGCAUCCAGGUGUGUCCCCCUCGUGGGAGCCCCACAGAAACCCAGGGCUGCAUCCAGGUGUCCCCCAUGGGGAGCCCCACAGAAACCCAGGGCGGCAUCCAGGUGUCCCCCUCGGGGGAGCCCCACAGAAACCCAGGGCUGCAUCCAGGUGUCCCCCAUGGGGAGCCCCACAGAAACCCAGAGCUGCAUCCAGGUGUCCCCCUCGCGGGAGCCCCACAGAAACCCAGGGCGGCAUCCAGGUGUCCCCCUCGGGGGAGCCCCACAGAAACCCAGAGCUGCAUCCAGGUGUCCCCCAUGGGGGAGCCCCAUAGAAACCCAGAGCUGCAUCCAGGUGUCCCCCUCGGGGGAGCCCCACAGAAACCCCGGGCGGCAUCCAGGUGCCCCCACGGUGGUUGCAUGAGCUUUUGGGUCCUGAGGACCUGGGAGAAGACUGACUGCCUUUUGUUUCUACAUUUUGAAGUACUGUAUGUACGGAAGUGAACCACACGUAAGUAUCUGGUACAGAAUAACAGCCCAGCAAUUGCGUCCCCAAAAUCCAGUGUAAGCAACGGGCAUCUCCAGGCCUCAGUGGCCGGUCCUCCCACUGCCCUGCUGGUGAUCACAGUCCCCGUGUCUGGCCGCCUCUGCCGUCGGAGCUGUGGCCAGCCUGGCCCACAUGUCUGAGAGCACAGUGACCGCAGUGCCAAGAGCACUCAGCACUCAGGAAGGGGCACGUGUGGUACUUCCCGUGUGGAAGCCGCCCUUGCUUAGCAUCCAGAGGCUGGGGUGCUCCAGCCACGCUGCUCCCCAGCGGCCACUCGCUCGAGAAGGAAUAGACAAGUGCUGUUUCUGCACGUCACUCACUGACUUUCUUGUGUUUCAGGUCUUGUAAGCAAGAUUUGUCCUGUUGAGACACUGGUGGAAGAAGCCAUCCAGUGUGCAGAAAAAAUUGCCAGCAAUUCUAAAAUUAUAGUAACGAUGGCCAAAGAAUCAGUGAAUGCAGCUUUUGAAAUGACAUUAACAGAAGGAAGUAAGUUGGAGAAGAAACUCUUUUAUUCAACCUUUGCCACCGAUGACCGGAAAGAAGGGAUGACUGCGUUUGUGGAAAAGAGAAAGGCCAACUUCAAAGACCAGUGAGAACCAGCUGCCCCUGCCUCACACCUCUGCUUGGAGAGGAUAAGUGCAGCCUGUCAGUUUUAGAAGCAAGUAAAUCAUCUGCUUUUCAAGAGCAGUGUCCGUGGUGUGCAGUUCCUCUCCAAUUGCUGCGUGGUCAUGGCCCGACCUCUCACAGCAUAACAGCCUUCUUCACCCAGCCUGUGAGGGUCCUGACUGGAGCACCUUCUUCUAAAUCUAAGAUUCUGCUGAGGAGCCCCCGCUGGUCCCUCUGGGCAUGCUGUGCUCGGACGGAAAGCGGGGCCUGCGGGUCCUUGUGUCCCUGCCGCUGAAGAAUGGGGCUGCUCUGAGGGAAACGCUGUCUGCUGCCUUCAUACAGAUGCUGAUUAAAGUGAUAGCAAUUCAGAUUA